rnacentral:lncRNA from 10 species
AUUGCACUUUUGAUUUGCAUUUCCCUGAUUACUAAUGAAAUAGAAUAUUUCUUUUUAUGUUUGUUGGCCUUUUGUAUCUCUUCUUCCAUGAAAUGCCUAUGCAUGUUUUUUUUUCUAUUUUCCUAUUAGGUUGUUUUCUCAUUGAUUUAUCAGAGUUCUUCAUGUAGUCUUGAGACUAUUUAUCUCUUCUCCCAGUUUGUAGUUUAGAUUUCACUUUCUUAAGGUUUAUGGAUUUAGGUUCUAAUUUUCAUAUGGUCAAGUAUGUUCAUCAUUUCUUUUUAAAUUCUUUUUGUGGCUUAAGGAGUCUUUCACUACCCCAAAGUCAAAAAUAUAUUUACCUAUAUUUUCCACACAAAAUUAUAUAGUUUUUUUUGGUUGUUUUUUUUUGAGACAGGGUCUCACCCUGUCCCCCAAGCUGGAAUGCAGCGGUGCAAUCACAGUUCACUGCAGCUUUGAACUCCGGUUUCAAGUGAUCUUCCCACCCUAGCCUCCUGAGUAGCUGGGACUACAGGCAUGAGCCAUGUGCCCGGCCCUGUAUAGUUUUUUUUUAAAGAAACAUUUAGGUCUUUAAUCCACCUGGAUUUAAUUCCAG